GACGAACGCUGGCGGCGCGCUUAACACAUGCAAGUCGAGCGAAGCGGCGGACGGGGGAGUAACUCGUGAGUAACCUGCCUUAGACAUUGGGAUAGCCUCGGGAAACCGGGAUUAAUACCAAAUGGUCUAAGAUGGACUCGCGUCCCAUUAGUGAGUUGGUGAGGUAACGGGCCACCAAGGCGACGAUGGGUAGCCGGACAGUGAGGGGGAACGGCCACAUUGGAACUGAGCAACGGUCGAAACUCUACGGGAGGCGGAAGUGGGGAAUAGUGCACAAUGGAGGGAUGACUGAAGCAGAGAGGCUGCGAGAACGUAGAAGGCUUUCGAGUCGUAAAGUUCUUUUAUAUGGGAAGCGGUACCAUAAGAAAAAGCCCCGGCUAACUACGUGCCAGCAGCCGCGGUAAUAC
rnacentral:rRNA from 1 species